GGGUCAGUAGGUUGGUCGUGCCACCGGUACGUACUGGUCUCACUGAUUCCUCCUUCCUGAAGAACCGUAAUGCCAUUAAUUUGGUGUUGAGCGGAAACAGGACUGUUACUUUGAAAGAAUUAGAGUGUUCAAAGCAAGCUAACGCUUGAAUACAUUAGCAUGGAAUAAUGAAAUAGGACGAUCGAUCCUAUUUUGUUGGUUUCUAGGAUUGACGUA
rnacentral:rRNA from 1 species